AGAGUUUGAUCCUGGCUCAGAUUGAACGCUGGCGGCAGGCCUAACACAUGCAAGUCGAGCGGUAGAGAGAAGCUUGCUUCUCUUGAGAGCGGCGGACGGGUGAGUAAUGCCUAGGAAUCUGCCUGGUAGUGGGGGAUAACGUUCGGAAACGGACGCUAAUACCGCAUACGUCCUACGAGAGAAAGCAGGGGACCUUCGGGCCUUGCGCUAUCAGAUGAGCCUAGGUCGGAUUAGCUAGUUGGUGAGGUAAUGGCUCACCAAGGCGACGAUCCGUAACUGGUCUGAGAGGAUGAUCAGUCGCACUGGAACUGAGACACGGUCCAGACUCCUACGGGAGGCAGCAGUGGGGAAUAUUGGACAAUGGGCGAAAGCCUGAUCCAGCCAUGCCGCGUGUGUGAAGAAGGUCUUCGGAUUGUAAAGCACUUUAAGUUGGGAGGAAGGGUUGUAGAUUAAUACUCUGCAAUUUUGACGUUACCGACAGAAUAAGCACCGGCUAACUCUGUGCCAGCAGCCGCGGUAAUACAGAGGGUGCAAGCGUUAAUCGGAAUUACUGGGCGUAAAGCGCGCGUAGGUGGUUUGUUAAGUUGGAUGUGAAAUCCCCGGGCUCAACCUGGGAACUGCAUUCAAAACUGACUGACUAGAGUAUGGUAGAGGGUGGUGGAAUUUCCUGUGUAGCGGUGAAAUGCGUAGAUAUAGGAAGGAACACCAGUGGCGAAGGCGACCACCUGGACUAAUACUGACACUGAGGUGCGAAAGCGUGGGGAGC
rnacentral:rRNA from 1 species